rfam:Mucor circinelloides f. circinelloides 1006PhL unplaced genomic scaffold supercont1.5, whole genome shotgun sequence.
ACCGGAAAGUUUCACGUCUUUCUGUAAGCAGAGUUGCGGUCUAUGAAGAGAUGAAUUCAUUCGUUGGUGGGCUCACGGUCUGCUUUGUGCUUUGUCGAAAACAGUGUCUUAGAGAGUCCGGUGUCAACAUUCGAGUUCGAGCGUAGGCUUGAAUUGGGAGGUUGUUCAAUACUGGGGAAACGCCCGAGGGUAGCAAUACAGCAGGGAAAACCUAGAGCACUGGUUCGGCUGUGAGAUAGCACGUUGGAGAAGCAUUUAAGUAUACUACCACUACGGAUGGGAACUCCCUCUUUUU